UCAUUCCUCCUGUCAACUGAGAAAGGGCUAAGCCUCUAAAGCACAAUCCAGACCAUAAUGUUCAUGCUAAACUGGGUGUUUCACUCACUUUUUUUGUUCACAGAGAUCCAUCUGCAAAGUAUGAUUUUCUCUCCAUUGGCCGUGAUGGACUCUGAUGUGCUUUGCAGAGCCCAUUUCUUCCUCUGAGUACCCUUCACUUCCCAGUGGCUUCACAGCACUCUGGAGAUAUUAACAGUAGGACUGGUUUGCUGCUUUUUGUGUUUCCAACUUCUGCAGCAACUCCUGGAGCAGCCAGGCAUUGGCAGACACGUUGGAAGGCAGCCAUGCAG